rnacentral:rRNA from 1 species
CUAAACCCAAAGGCGCAAUGAAAGUAAAGGCAGCCCCGGGUUUGCCUAGGUAGGAUCUUUUUUUCUCUUUUNAGAGNAGGCGCACUACCGGCCCGUCUCGUCCGCGUUGCGGUGAGGCGGAGCGAGAGCGCACACGUUGGGACCCGAAAGAUGGUGAACUAUGCCUGAGUAGGACGAAGCCAGAGGAAACUCUGGUGGAAGUCCGUAGCGAUUCUGACGUGCAAA